GGGGAAUAUUGGACAAUGGGCGUAAGCCUAAUCCAGCAAUGCCGCGUGGGUGAAGAAGGUUUUCGGAUUGUAAAGCCCUUUCGGCGGGGACGAUGAUGACGGUACCCGCAGAAGAAGCCCCGGCUAACUUCGUGCCAGCAGCCGCGGUAAUACGAAGGGGGCUAGCGUUGCUCGGAAUUACUGGGCGUAAAGGGCGCGUAGGCGGUUGGUACAGUCGGGUGUGAAAUUCCUGGGCUUAACCUGGGGGGUGCAUUUGAUACGGGCUGGCUUGAGUGGGGGAGAGGGUCGUGGAAUUCCCAGUGUAGAGGUGAAAUUCGUAGAUAUUGGGAAGAACACCGGUGGCGAAGGCGGCGACCUGGUCCUUGACUGACGCUGAGGCGCGAAAGCGUGGGGAGCAAACA
rnacentral:rRNA from 1 species